GAAGAGCUUCUACCAGCCUUCUCGAAAAGUGUAUAUUGAUUUAUUUCCAAAGUUCACUUAAGUGUAGUUGAUGAAAUUUUGAUGUGAGGCCACGUCUUUACCAUUUCUUGUCUCUUUUCAGGAGAGAAAACGUCGUAGCUGAAAUGAUUUCCCGUUUUUUUAACUGUUGAUUGUAGCGUCCCCUUCCAUAGGUAAACAGUUCUUAAUACAGAGAGGUUGUAGUAGACGACAAUGACUGGCGUUUUCAAAACGAGAACGGAAGUGGCCAUGUCAAGUGAAGAGUUCUUUGUCAAUCCAAUCUUUUCUCGAUGGUGCCACUAAGUACCUAACAAGAACGUGGAGGCUUCCAUUUGUUGUACUCCAAAUUAAUUACCUUGCAACUUCAGGCAAAAGCUAAAAUAAUUUGUGUAUUAGGUCGUCACUGUUUUUUAGACACUGUCUAUGGUGUUGUACCAUAUGACAUUGUAUCAUCUCUUCCUUAAGGCUAUAAACAUCGUGGCACCAAUUCUUGCAAUCGCUCAAGACCA